AACGCACAUUGCGCUCGACGCUUCGGCCGAGAGCAUGUCUGCCUCAGCGUCGGGUUAAUAUCAAUCCCCAUACUCUGUAACCCAGAGUAUAGUGGUUGGACCUGGCCGUUCCAGAGCUAUAUUCACUUAUAGACCUGGAUCGGCUGAAGAGCAGAGACGACUCGGGACCCGUACAGGGCCGCAAUUGGGUAGGCGUUGCUCGCAAGGGCUUUGCUAAUUGCUUAAUUGCUGGCUUGGAUACUGAGUCGUCCACCUCAGGAAACAAGUGUUAACCCUAUUACCUCGACCUGAGCUCAGGCAAGACCACCCGCUGAACUUAA
rnacentral:misc_RNA from 1 species